GGAGCGGAGCGGGCAGAGCGCGGUGUAACGCGACGUGACGGAGGGACUGUAUGGCAGAUACAAACAGGGCUGGGAUGGGAAGUCAUAGAUAAAGGAAGCACGGCCAAAAAAAAAAAAAAAAAAAAAAAGAGGAGGUGCGAGCCAGAAACGGGAGCUGCGAUGGAAAGUAAUAAAUGCACGAGGGAAGCACCUCCGAGGGACAAGAAAAAGCCACGCAGUCUCCCAGGUCCUUCAAAGAAACCUCACACAGGGUCACUGCUGUCACACUGCGGGCAGCCUGGCUGGAAGGACAUCCACAGGAAAGGAGCUGUCACAGACAAAGCCUGCAGAUGGAAGAAAAGGUUGAAAUUAGUACUUAAAAUGCUCCGUUUACAUGAAAAGCCAGCUGAAACAGGAGCGCAAAGCCCGGCCCAUGGUGCAGAACAAAGCUCUGCAUCGUUCCAGUGCUUCUAGUGUGCUUUGGGGGGAAGCUGUUCCCAGUUGCAACACACAGCCACGCUUGGGCAGUGCUGCUGUAACCAGAUCCCUCUCUCAUCUGAAGCUUUUCAAGAACACAGAUUGGAGAGAGCGUGACCUGCGUCUCAGAAGGCCAAGGGGACCUCAGUAAAGGAGGUGGCAGCAACCGGUGUCAUCCUGGUCACUGCACGAGGACCUGUGUGCAGCCUGCUGGCCUGUCCUGCUGACAGCAAGCUUGGGAGCAAGCAUCAAAGGUCAACACUUGAUCCUGCACCCCUCCUACUCAAACGGCCAAGAACAGGAGACUCCAUCCAGCUGCUCUCCAUCACCCAUCAUCUCACCCACCAGCACACGCCAGGGCAGAGCCCAGGGCUCCGCAGGGCACUGUUUAAUUGCUCACCCACACGGGUAGCGCUCCAAGUCUUCACGAUGUGUUAACUCUGUCCCUUUGAGUCACUGCAUCAGCUGUACCAGGAUUCUCUGACUCCUUUUCAAGCACUGCUCCCAGCCAGACUCCAUGCUGUUCUCAUCCACACAACGCAGGGGAUGAGAGCUGCUGCAAAAUAAUGCCACUGUGGCCAAUGGCUGAGCAUCAGUUACCUUCUGCAGCACAGCAAACGCAGCUCAGGAGCUCCUGGAAUUUGGUUUAUGCUGAACCCAUUUGUGUAUAUAUAUAUAUAUAUAAAAGCACACUUCCGUUUUCAAAAUACGUUGCUACCCAAAAAUAGAUGUUUCUUCAACAGCAGAGCACGGAGCAAUUGCUAAGCCAUGCAAGCAAAACACCAUGUACAGCCAGAGGACUGCAAAAGAACUCACUCUUGCUUACUGCAUAGUAGAAUUUUUUGGAAUUAAUACCUGAUUUUUCACCCACUGUGGAAAAAAAAAUAGGAACAUUACAGCGCCAGCUUCUGCCCUGGUUCCUUUUGCCCCCAAACAUCUCUGCAAUCACAUCCUGAAGUGCUGUACCUGCUAGUUUUUUUUCCAAACAUGAAGCAUUUCAUCCUCUAGGCAGAGGGCUUCAGUCUUCCAGGCUGUGAAACAGAACAUUUCAGGGGAAUAAGAUGAAAAAAAAGAAAAGCCCCCCAGCCCCACCUGAUUUGACUACUGCAAAGGAUACAAACCUCCUGGGAGUGGAGAGAUCACUGUAUCCUGUAUGUUGCCAUGUUUAACACACAGCUGCAGGGCGUUACCUCUCCAUGAAAAGGCCCACGUGCAAUGCCCAGCAGGAAUGACAGAAAUCACGCUGGAGAAGUCACAGGACAAGGGUUUAAAACAGUGCAACUCUGUGAGUUGAAGGCUGCUCUUCUUCACAUCCCCAAUCACAUCUGAUUGUCAUGCCCAGAGCAAAAUAAAUAGCAAGCCAGCUAUCUUCAAUGCUUUUGAUUCAUCAUGUUGGCACCGAAGUCACUUCACUGUGUUCUAAAUGAAGCAGACUGAGCGCACGCUUGUGCCCUUAUUGCUCUCUCACUUCAGGGAAAGGCAAAGAAGAAAAGUACUUGUGCGUGGAGAUGUAUUUGAAAGGAGAACAGUUUCUUGGCUAGCUUUGGCUUUCAUUUUAUAUCACCAAUAGCACUGCAUAACACAAUGCAUGCUUAUGCUUUUUUACCUCUUUGGCAUAAUAGGAAAGCUUAAAAGGCUGCAGUGUCCCCCCGCUGGAAGAGGAGCAGAGGUUUCUAUCACUCACUUGCUUUUUGCACCAGAAAUUCAGGUUUUGUUUAGCUUGGAAACCUCACAGAUGUCGUUCUGGUAACUCUUCAAUCCAAAGCGUGUGGCGGUAGAAGUCCAACACUCCCAAGGAAGCCCUCAGUUAUCCCAAACUGCCACAGAAAAGUAGUACAAUUCCCACAGGGUACAGUGGCCUGAAAAACAUGAAGGCAUCCCAAACAGUUUGUUGGUCCCCUGUACCUGCAGGCCAGCAGAGGCCACCAAUCAGCACCAGGCAUAUCUCCAAAUACAUCCCUAACAAGAGGAUAAAAUGAACGUCCUAUCCAGGCUGGUUUAAUUCAAACACAGAUGAGCCUUUUUAGGAACACAAGCAAUUGGCAGUUUUCACAUACACCACGCACCAGCUUCUCCCAGCUCUCCAUCACACUAUGAAAUCUGGCCUGGACAUCUCAUACUUACCCCUCAGCUAAAUUUUUGCCAGAAAAAGCAUAACGUCACAGCUGUGCUCCAAAUCACUGCAGCAACCAGGCAAUGAAAUCACCACUCAGAAAGUGUUGCUCCAGCUUAGCAGGGUAGGGCCCCUCCAUUGGUCAGCCAGUGGCACUCACGCAACACCAUAGCCAAUAUUCUCAUUGAUGAAGGCUAAUGAGGAGGUGCCAAUACCUGCUCUCCUUGCUCACAAGUGACUGCUUGGACUGUGCACAUUGAAGUCAUGGUGACCUAGGAGAGAUCAGAACCAGCUGCUUUUGAUUACCUUCUGCCACACAACAAAAGAAACUACACCCAGAAAGGAAGCAUACUCCUUCCUUCUGGCAAGUAAGCACAACUUUGAGGAAUUGAGUAAUAAAGCUGUGGCAUCUCGUGGGAGCAAGCUCACAGGAAAAAUAGUUCAAGGGGACCCUGAUCUUCAGCAACACCAUUUAGCACGUUGCAACGCUCCCUCUGACGUCUGUGCAUUACAUUUGCCUGAGCAAAAUGAGAAGUAAUAAACUAUUGCGUGUAGGUCCGUUUGCUGGUAGGGAAAGGGGCCCCACAGUUUUACUCCCUGGAGGCACCAGCUCUCCCCACCCCUUUUGUGUGUAUUUUUUUUUUUUUUUAAUGUGCCACACAUCAGCACAAUGCUGACAACUGCAUUGUAUGCUUUUCUGCCUAUGCAGCACUUCAAGAACACACAACUCUGGAAGGUUUUUGAAACGGGAAAGGGGGAGGGAGCUGUCCUUUGCUAUCUCAUUUUAAUUGCACAGCUCGCUCCUCUACAUGACCACAGGGAAGGGAUAAAAAUAAACGGUUAAAACCAGUACUGUUUUUAUCAUCCAAAAGGGUCAGACUAAGUCUUCUCACGAGAUACAGUCAGUUGUGCUUAGAAUAAAAGCUACCACGAGCAAGGAUAAAAAAGCACAGGGUUUCUUCUCUGGCACUGGAACCUCCCCUGUCCUCCUCACUGUUGUUUCGGUCUCCUCCUUUCCACACCUUCCAGUGCAGAGAUACUGAAAAGGGAAUAGGGAUGGAAGGGGACCAACAGCCAGCCCUCCAGCUUUUGCACCUGCCAGCAGCAGCCUGAUGGAGCCUGGUGGCACUGCUCCAGGAGCAGCGACCCGAGCACAUUACCUCCCAAAUAAACGAAUGGUUAACAUCUCACACACAGCAGCACAUGCAGCCUCAUUUAAUGAUGAAGAUGGCUAAUCCACAGCCUUUUUUUUUUUAAUUAUUAUUAUUUUUUUUUAAAAUAAGGCCACAAGGCAGAGCUUCUUCCAGAAGCAGCAGCCUUUUCUUUUGAAAAACAGUACUGGGUGGGAAGGGGAAGCCCUGGGACCCACUCAUGCCCUCCAGAAGUAACCACAGAAACAUUGUGGCUUUCUGUGGCGGUGUACAGCACACACACAGCCAGAGCACUGUGCCUUACCCUCCUCAGCAAGGCCAGUCCCCACUGCCCAGCUUGCUGCAUGUUUACAAUACUCACAGAGAAGCUAUCUGCUGUAGAGUGGGAGUUACACAAACAAUCCUGCAUUUCCCUGGGAGGAAAAAAAUAUAUAUACAAAAAUUAGGGCAGAAGGCAGCUUUCACCCACAACAUUGCAACAUUCCCCUGCACUACUCGGGUCAGGGAGGGGAUGCAGGGUUGUGUAAUUGAAGUGGAGCAUCUGCAUUAGCUCAGUGGGCCCUGUCCCCUGGGCAAUGUCACGUGGACUCGCAUGGAGACACAUUAGUGCUCGCAGCCUGCCUUAAUGCAAAGCUGUGGUCAGACCGCAGCGGAGCCAGCACUAAAGGAGGUCACCUGGGGACUACAAAAAAGCAAUGAAUUAAAAAAUAAUAAUAAUAAUAAUCUAUAAGCAGAUGUUUACUGACAAGCAGGCAAGUCCGAAUCCUCAAUCUGCAAAAAGCAAGGAGGAGCACAGAGCAGGCUGAGAAAUAGCAGCCUGGUUCCCAAGACAAAGACAAAUAUCUGCAUCUACAGACAGCACCAAACAGAUUGAGGUUACAGCUUUUACCAGCCUCCCUCCUCCCGGCUUUGCAGCCCUGAAACCCACCGGAUCUGCCGUUAUUGGAGCACACACCGACUGCAGCUCUCCCUGAUUUUUGGUGGCACCGUGGAAAUACUUACCCACCUCACAGGCAGGGCUGUGAAAGCUUACAUUUGUGAGAGUUUGCAAAUGGUUUUGAAAGCCUUCCAAGGAAGGUGCUGUAGAAUCGUAAAUCCUUCCCAUUAUUAAUAAAAUGGAGCUAUUGUUCCAGCUCUAAUCGAGACUUGUCUCCAGCUGGGCAAAUUUAAAAUGCAGUUCAAAGCAUACACACACACACACACACACAAAACGAUCAUAAGGAAGCUGCAACAUGGGCUGAAAAUAAUAAUUAAAUAAAAAUAAUAAAAAACAAUCACUGUAGCAGCAAGCUGUUCUUUGGAGGGGGGGAUAAAAAAAAAAAAAUGAGGCUGCUAUGUAAGAUGAAUUCCAAGCAGCAGCAUAGCAGGGUGGGGGGAAGCUCCCUCCCACUGCCUGGGAAAGGUCACUUCUGCCCUAAGCAGCAGAUCGGAGCUGGGGCACAGUGCAUGCAAGUGAGCCCAGCCUCAUCCAUCUCCAUCAGGAGACAUCUCUGCUUUUAAUUUAUUUAGCAAAGGGGGAGGAAACGGAGUGUGUGUGUGCGUGGGGGGGGG
ensembl:lncRNA